UCGUGGUCGCCGUUAGGCAGUCGAGUAGUUGAUAUGGCUACAGGACGAACGCUGGCGGCGUGCCUAACACAUGCAAGUCGAACGGAGUUAAUGAUUCGGUGUUAACUUAGUGGCGAACGGGUGAGUAACGCGUGAACAACCUGACCCAAAGAGGGGGAUAACAUUUGGAAACAGAUGCUAAUACCGCAUAAGACCACAACGUCACAUGGCGAAGGGGUCAAAGGAGCAAUCCGCUUUGGGAGGGGUUCGCGUCCCAUUAGGUAGUAGGCGGGGUAACAGCCCACCUAGCCAACGAUGGGUAGCCGAGCUGAGAGGCUGAUCGGCCACACUGGAACUGAGACACGGUCCAGACUCCUACGGGAGGCAGCAGUGGGGAAUAUUGGGCAAUGGGCGCAAGCCUGAACCCCCAGCAACGCCGCGUGAGGGAAGAAGGUUUUCGGAUUGUAAACCUCUGUCGCAGAAGACGAAGGAAGUGACGGUAUUCUGUGAGGAAGCCCCGGCUAACUACGUGCCAGCAGCCGC
rnacentral:rRNA from 1 species